GCCCUUCGGGGUACUCGAGUGGCGAACGGGUGAGUAACACGUGGGUGAUCUGCCCUGCACUUUGGGAUAAGCCUGGGAAACUGGGUCUAAUACCGAAUACACCUCAUUGGAUGCAUGUCUGGUGGGGGAAAGCUUUUGCGGUGUGGGAUGGGCCCGCGGCCUAUCAGCUUGUUGGUGGGGUGAUGGCCUACCAAGGCGACGACGGGUAGCCGGCCUGAGAGGGUGUCCGGCCACACUGGGACUGAGAUACGGCCCAGACUCCUACGGGAGGCAGCAGUGGGGAAUAUUGCACAAUGGGCGCAAGCCUGAUGCAGCGACGCCGCGUGGGGGAUGACGGCCUUCGGGUUGUAAACCCCUUUCAGUAGGGACGAAGCGCAAGUGACGGUACCUACAGAAGAAGGACCGGCCAACUACGUGCCAGCAGCCGCGGUAAUACGUAGGGUCCGAGCGUUGUCCGGAAUUACUGGGCGUAAAGAGCUCGUAGGUGGUUUGUCGCGUUGUUCGUGAAAACUCACAGCUUAACUGUGGGCGUGCGGGCGAUACGGGCAGACUGGAGUACUGCAGGGGAGACUGGAAUUCCUGGUGUAGCGGUGGAAUGCGCAGAUAUCAGGAGGAACACCGGUGGCGAAGGCGGGUCUCUGGGCAGUAACUGACGCUGAGGAGCGAAAGCGUGGGGAGCGAACAGGAUUAGAUACCCUGGUAGUCCACGCCGUAAACGGUGGGUACUAGGUGUGGGUUUCCUUCCUUGGGAUCCGUGCCGUAGCUAACGCAUUAAGUACCCCGCCUGGGGAGUACGGCCGCAAGGCUAAAACUCAAAGAAAUUGACGGGGGCCCGCACAAGCGGCGGAGCAUGUGGAUUAAUUCGAUGCAACGCGAAGAACCUUACCUGGGUUUGACAUGCACAGGACGUGCCUAGAGAUAGGUAUUCCCUUGUGGCCUGUGUGC
rnacentral:rRNA from 2 species